rnacentral:rRNA from 1 species
GACGAACGCUGGCGGCGUGCUUAACACAUGCAAGUCGAGCGGUAAGGCCCUUUCGGGGUACGACGAGCGGCGAACGGGUGAGUAACACGUGGGUGACCUGCCCUUACGCUCUGGGAUAAGCCUGGGAAACGUGGGUCGUAAUACCGGAUAUGACUCCAUGACGCAUGUUGUGGGGUGGAAAGCCUUGUGCGGCUAGGGAUGGGCCCGCGGCCUAUCAGCUUGUUGGUGGGGUGAUGGCCUACCAAGGCGACGACGGGUAGCCGGCCUGAGAGGGCGACCGGCCACACUGGGACUGAGACACGGCCCAGACUCCUACGGGAGGCAGCAGUGGGGAAUCUUGCGCAAUGGGCGAAAGCCUGACGCAGCGACGCCGCGUGAGGGA